GCCACAAGACCUUAACUAUCAACAACAAGACCCUAGCCAGCCUCUGUCAGGCUUCAGUCCGCCGUUUUCCGCUACGAACCAGCCUUACUCGGGGUUUAAUCAGCCAUUUUCUAGUACCAACCAGCCUUUCGGGGGUACUAACCAAGCUGGCUCAAUGGAUUACGCUGCUUUUGAUAAUGGGGUUCCGAAGAUGAUGACUUGCAUUCAAGGUGUUGCCUUGGUUUGUCUACUUACGUUGAUGGUUUGCUUUGGCUUUUAGA